rnacentral:tRNA from 1 species
GUUGUUGUAGUAUAGUGGUAAAUAUUCUCGCCUGUCAUAUGGGUGACCCAUGUUCGACCCCGGCAACGACG